GCAGCUGGGGGUCCGGAAGUGUUAGGAGCCUCGCGAAGGGUUGGUGUUCAUCUGCUUGCAGAGGAAAGCCAGGUCCAUACCCCUGAACUUCUCAAAUAUUUCCAAUGCUCAUCACUGGGUCUUUUGCAUGGUCAAAAGGGUUGCAGGUGAUUCUUCUGUGUUGUAAAGUUGAAGAGCAGCUUAAUCCACACUUCCUUUUUGGUCUCACUUCUCCCCUUUGUUCCGGUCAAACCCUGACUGCUUCAAAAGGAAAACUGAAAUGAGGAGUCAGGAAAACUAGAAGACCAGAGGUGACCCUGGGAAAGACAAAACUGCUCUCAGGGUCUGACUCUGUGGCCCAGGCUGGAGCACAGUGGCAUGAUCACAGCUCACUGCGACCUCCACCUCCUGGGAUCCUCCCACCUCAGCCUCCAGAAUAGCUGAGACUACAGGCAUGCACCACCAUGUUUGGCUAAUUUUUAGGUUUUCUUUUUUUUUUAAGAGACAAAGUCUUACUAAAUUGCCUAGGCUUGUCUAGAACUCCCAGACUCAAGCAAGUCUCCUGCCUCAGUCUCCCAAAGUACUGAGAUUACAGUAUUUAUCCUGAUUGCCUACUCACUAGAGUUCUGGACCUGUUUUCCAAAGAAUUCCACAGUGGGGGCCACCUUGUACUGGCAGUUGAAAAACAGGAAAUAGACAGAGAUCAUCCAUUUCCCCUGAGUUCACUGAAACACUCCAGUAAGAAGAUUGAAAAUAGCAGACCGGGGCCGAGCGCAGUGGCUCAUGCCUGUAAUCCCAGCACUUUGGGAGGCCGAGGCAGGCUGAUCAUCUGAGGUCAGGAGUUCGAGACCAGCCUGGCCAACAUGGUGAAAUCCUGUCUCUACUAAAAAUACAUAAAAAUAAAUAUAUGUCACUUGA
rnacentral:lncRNA from 1 species